CACGAAGAGGCCUCCAUCGGUCUUUCAACCUUGCCUAUCGUACCCUUUUUGUUGUUCCCUCGGCGGGGUAAAGCCCGCCGGCGGGAAGCUCGAAAAGCCCUUUGCAAUCAGCAUCCAAAAACUCUGAUUACAAAACCUUAAAUCGUUA
rnacentral:misc_RNA from 1 species